GGAUGGAAGAAUAAUGGUUGGAAUAGUAACCCAGGCCCUGACACAUAUUAAGGUCUUGGCUGGCCAAUAAUGAAGGACUGUCUGUGUCUAUGAUCACACCUCUUGCUCAUGAAUGGAGAAGUCACUGGACUGAUGAGGUCAUUUCCCUUGCAGCUGAAGCUAUGGUCCUUUCAGUCACAGCCCAGUUUAACUGGGUGCUCACCAGAAGUUGGCAUUCAUUGUUGGACCACCUUCUGAGGAGAAUACAGCUCUGCAUUACUGAAAUGU